UACGGAGGAUCCGAGCGUUAUCCGGAUUUAUUGGGUUUAAAGGGUGCGCAGGCGGGAGAUUAAGUCGGCGGUGUAAUUUUGCAGCUCAACUGUAAAAGUGCCUUCGAAACUGGUUUCCUUGAGUGUGGAUGAAGUAGGCGGAAUUUGUGGUGUAGCGGUGAAAUGCAUAGAUAUCACGAGGAACUCCGAUUGCGCAGGCAGCUUACUAAGCCAUAACUGACGCUCAGGCACGAAGGCGUGGGGAUCAAACAGGAUUAGAUACCCU
rnacentral:rRNA from 1 species